GACGAACGCUGGCGGCGUGCUUAACACAUGCAAGUCGAACGAUGAAGCUAGAGCUUGCUCUGGUGGAUUAGUAGCGAACGGGUGAGUAACACGUGAGUAACCUGCCCCGAAAUCUGGGAUAACUGCUGGAAACGGUAGCUAAUACCGGAUAUGAUCAAUGAAGGCAUCUUCUGUUGGUGGAAAGAAUUUCGGUUCGGGACGGACUCGCGGCCUAUCAGCUUGUUGGUGAGGUAACGGCUCACCAAGGCGACGACGGGUAGCCGGCCUGAGGGGGUGAUCGGCCACACUGGGACUGAGACACGGCCCAGACUCCUACGGGAGGCAGCAGUGGGGAAUAUUGCACAAUGGGCGCAAGCCUGAUGCAGCAACGCCGCGUGAGGGACGACGGCCUUCGGGUUGUAAACCUCUUUCAGCAUCGACGAAGCGAAAGUGACGGUAGGUGCAGAAGAAGGACCGGCCAACUACGUGCCAGCAGCCGCCGUAA
rnacentral:rRNA from 1 species